GCAAACUUGGUCAUUUAGAGGAAGUAAAAGUCGUAACAAGGUUUCCGUAGGUGAACCUGCGGAAGGAUCAUCACUGAUUCAGGGGUCCGCGCGUUUCCCUACGCCCGUGCGCGUGCGUAGCGCGAGCGCCACCCCAAACCAAUCUCGUGUGCACCGUUUCACUGGUCAGAGAAUGACAUGUGGCCGUGUGCGUGUUGGUGGGGGGGGAUCAUCACAUCCAUCACCCACCGACCGCAUGCACCCUGUCGUUCUAAAUUUGCGCAAUCUCUUGAUUAAACUUGUUUCCAACAUGUUUUACCUAAAAUAUAACAUACACAACUUUUAACAAUGGAUCUCUUGGCUCUCGCAUCGAUGAAGAACGCAGC
rnacentral:misc_RNA from 1 species